ACUCAAAGGAAUUGACGGGGGCCCGCACAAGCGGCGGAGCAUGCGGCUUAAUUCGAUGCAACGCGAAGAACCUUACCAGGGCUUGACAUGCACGGUGCAGCCGCGGAGACGCGGUGUCCUUUGGGGUCGUGCACAGGUGGUGCAUGGUUGUCGUCAGCUCGUGUCGUGAGAUGUUGGGUUAAGUCCCGCAACGAGCGCAACCCUCGUCCUGUAUUGCCAGCGACGCCUCUUUCGGGGGGCGGUCGGGGACUUGCGGGAGACUGCCGGGGUCAACUCGGAGGAAGGUGGGGACGACGUCAAAUCAUCAUGCCCCUUAUGUCCUGGGCUGCACGCAUGCUACAAUGGCCGGUACAGAGGGCUGCGAUGCCGCGAGGCGGAGCGAAUCCCGGAAAGCCGGUCUCAGUUCGGAUCGGGGUCUGCAACUCGACCCCGUGAAGUCGGAGUCGCUAGUAAUCGCAGAUCAGCAACGCUGCGGUGAAUACGUUCCCGGGCCUUGUACACACCGCCCGU
rnacentral:rRNA from 1 species